CUCGCCGUGAGUCGACGAAGGGAGCGCGGGCGCGCGCCCGCGUCCGCGCACUGAGAGUCGCCUCGGCCGCUCGCUUUCUCGACUCCCGCCUCGCGCCUCGAUCCUGUUCCGCCUCCCUCGGCCCUCCUGCCCGCCCCCACUCGUCGGCCCUCAGCAUUGUCUUUGAAUAUUAGCAAAUAAUGGAACAUGGGCCAAGGGUGAACCAUGACGAAUUUGUGUUCCAGCAGCCCUGCUUCUUUAGAAUUGACAGUCUGGCUUCGUGGUUAAUUCACAGCAUCUGAGGAAUACAUCCAAAGAGGGUGAUACUGUGGCAUGAUGGUACCAGGAUUCCAAGUUCAUUCCAGAUCAUUGGGUAGAGACUAGAAAUGUACCGAGCAGUGCGCAAAGAAGAUGAGGAGGGUUCUACAGUUUCUCCAGAUACAUACCAUGACAAUUUGUUUUUUUAAAAAAGAAGAAAGCCUGCAGGAAAAAAUCUACAACUUUCAUCAAAUUACUCAGGGAGACUUUAUUCUAAAGAGACUGAAAACGACCAACAUCAAUUUUGACUCCUAUGGGCAUCUGUAAAUAGCUUCAAGGUUUUAAGGUGAAAUGUCAUGUACCAAAAUACACAUUCUGGAGAAGCAGGAAGCUACAGACCAACUUGAGAUGAAAGUCUCAUAUCAAUGUUUUCCCAAGUGUGCUCCUUGGAAUACAGGUUGACAUGAUAUGAUGCCCAGCAAGGGAAACAAAACAUAUUCAUGUUCAAAUUAGUUGGGGAAAUGCUGGACUAAAUAAGGUUUGAUGGGAUUCUUUUUUCUGCAGGACUUCUCAGAAGGGGCUAGAGUAGGCAAAGUUUCCCAGAUUUACCUAAUAAAAGCAUUGUUUCUGUGGGAGUUUCAUUUGUUAUUACAUGUUUCCUGAAUGCAGAUUCAUAGACUAUCCUUUGGGGAACCCUCGUCCUCACGGGAUGUAUGUUCAUGGUGGUGUCUUCGAGUUUGUGCCCUUGUGAAGCAUUCUGGCAGCAAGCAUCUGAACACUUCCAAAAGGGGGCGAUAUUUAGGAGAAAUCGCUCAGCCUGAGUUAGAACAAAUGCAGCUGCUGGUGUCUCUUGGUGCCUGGGAGCCCUAGAGUGUCAGAGGGAGGAGCGUGCACACUGGAACCAGCAGCCUGGUGCUGCGUCUCAGCUCUGUCGCUAACUGGCUAUGCACCUCUGGGCAUGGCACUUAACCCUUCUGAGCCCCAGCCCGCCAUCUGUAAAAAGGGCUUGAUGUGAGGAUUGAAUGAGAUCAUGCAGGGAACACAAUGUCUGGCACUUGGAAGCGUCCACCAUAAAGAGCCAAGGCAGUAGAUGGCCCAGCUGGGUUUGGUCCAGGCAGAGUUUACCCUCUGCCCUGGAGGCUCCAGGAAAUGCUGCCACGUGGCUCCUAUUGCCUUAACCACAUCCGACCUGUUCCUGACAGCUCCCCACAUCUCCAGCUCCUUUGCUGGUGCUCCAGGCACCUCCAAACGUGGCGAGCCCCUCUCCCCUGCCCUCUUGUGGCAGCUGACCUGGCAGGAGUGGGACCAAGACAUCCAAGGCAGCUCCUUUCCACCUGCAUGGGCACUUUCCUCAGGACAUCCUUGCCCCUGGCACCACCUUGGGCCAGCAAGCCACAUGGAAAUGGAUGCAGAGGCACCACUGUUUGCUGACAAUUAUACACUGUCCUUAAGGUCACCCUUGGCGAUCUGUCACCAGGAGCAGACAAACCCACACCUCAACCAUCCCAUCAGAGCUUGUUUCUAUCUGCAUCUGUCAUCGCUGAUCGCAUUUGAAUGGGUUUAGUCU
rnacentral:lncRNA from 1 species